CCUACGGGAGGCUGCAGUGGGGAAUAUUGCACAAUGGGGGAAACCCUGAUGCAGCGACGCCGCGUGAGCGAAGAAGUAUUUCGGUAUGUAAAGCUCUAUCAGCAGGGAAGAAAAUGACGGUACCUGAGUAAGAAGCUCCGGGUAAAUACGUACCAGCAUCCGCGGAAAUACUUAGGGAGCAAGCGUUAUCCGGAUUUACUGGGCGUUAAGGGAGCGUAGGCGGGAUGCCAAGUCUGAUGUGAAAUACCGGGGCUCAACCCCGGGGCUGCAGUGGAAACUGGCAGGCUGGAGUGGCGGAGAGGGAGGCGGAAUUCGUGGUGUAGCGGUGAAAUGCGUAGAUAUUAGGAGGAACACCAGUGGCGAAGGCGGCCGGCUGGACGGUGACUGACGCUGAGGCUCGAAAGCGUGGGGAGCGAACAGGAUUAGAUACCCUUGUAGUC
rnacentral:rRNA from 1 species